rnacentral:rRNA from 1 species
UACGGAGGGGGCUAGCGUUGUUCGGAAUUACUGGGCGUAAAGGGCUCGUAGGUGGCCAACUAAGUCAGACGUGAAAUCCCUCAGCUUAACUGGGGAACUGCGUCUGAUACUGGAUGGCUUGAGUUUGGGAGAGGGAUGCGGAAUUCCAGGUGUAGCGGUGAAAUGCGUAGAUAUCUGGAGGAACACCGGUGGCGAAGGCGGCAUCCUGGACCAACACUGACGCUGAGUGAGCGAAAGCCAGGGGAGCAAACGGG